UUGGGCUAAAUGUUGUGUUGCCCAUGUGAAUUAGUUUAGCCCAAAGUAGGAUUAGUGAGGUAAUAUCUUAGGUUUAGAAACAGUCAGUAAGGGCAUAACUUUAGAAGAGGAAGCAGUUAGCAGAGAAUUGGGAGAAACCAGUGCACGUGAGAUUUGCCUAGCAGAGGAAUUUUUGGGGAUUUUGAUCGGGACGAUUUAGAGCAACCUUCGAUCCAAAGGUGAUGCUAGUGAGUGAAGGAUUAGCUGUCGCGAGUUGAGUCGGUUGUCGCUCUGAUACGUAGCACUCGGGGGGAUAAAACGAUUGUUUUUAGUAUUGUUUUAAUUGCUGAAUUUUAUUUGGUUUGAUUUGAAUUGUAACUUAAAGUUACCGUGCAAAGAUGCUACGACUUGAUUUAAAUAGUUAUGAAGUUUGUUGAUUCCGCUGCGAGUUAAUUAUUGAAUUUAAACAAA